CUUAAGCAUAUCAAUAAGCGGAGGAAAAGAAACCAACAGGGAUUACCUCAGUAACGGCGAGUGAAGCGGUAACAGCUCAAAUUUGAAAGCUAGCUCUUUUAGGGUUCGCAUUGUAAUUUGUAGAAGAUGCUUCGGGUGUGGCCCCGGUCUAAGUUCCUUGGAACAGGACGUCAUAGAGGGUGAGAAUCCCGUAUGUGACUGGGUGCUUUCGCUCAUGUGAAGCUCUUUCGACGAGUCGAGUUGUUUGGGAAUGCAGCUCAAAAUGGGUGGUAAAUUUCAUCUAAAGCUAAAUAUUGGCCAGAGACCGAUAGCGCACAAGUAGAGUGAUCGAAAGAUGAAAAGCACUUUGGAAAGAGAGUUAAACAGUACGUGAAAUUGUUGAAAGGGAAGCGCUUGCAACCAGACUUGCGCGCUGAUGAUCAUCCGGGCUUCUGCCCGGUGCACUCGUCUGCGCUCAGGCCAGCAUCGGUUUUGGUGGUGGGAUAAAGGCCUUGGGAAUGUAGCUUCUUUCGGGGAGUGUUAUAGCCCUCGGUGCAAUGCCGCCUACCGGGACCGAGGACCGCGCUUCGGCUAGGAUGCUGGCGUAAUGGUUGUAAGCGACCCGUCUUGAAACACGGACCAAGGAGUCUAACAUCUAUGCGAGUGUUUGGGUGUCAAACCCAUACGCGUAAUGAAAGUGAACGGAGGUGAGAACCCUUAAGGGUGCAUCAUCGACCGAUCCUGAUGUCUUCGGAUGGAUUUGAGUAAGAGCAUAGCUGUUGGGACCCGAAAGAUGGUGAACUAUGCGUGAAUAGGGUGAAGCCAGAGGAAACUCUGGUGGAGGCUCGCAGCGGUUCUGACGUGCAAAUCGAUCGUCAAAUUUGCGUAUAGGGGCGAAAGACUAAUCGAACCAUCUAGUAGCUGGUUCCUGCCGAAGUUUCCCUCAGGA
rnacentral:rRNA from 1 species